rnacentral:rRNA from 1 species
UACGUAGGUGGCAAGCGUUGUCCGGAUUUACUGGGCGUAAAGAGCGUGCAGGCGGUCGUUCAAGUCGCGUGUGAAAGCCCCCGGCUCAACUGGGGAGGGUCACGCGAUACUGAUCGACUCGAAGGCAGGAGAGGGUAGUGGAAUUCCCGGUGUAGUGGUGAAAUGCGUAGAUAUCGGGAGGAACACCAGUGGCGAAGGCGGCUUCCUGGCCUGUUCUUGACGCUGAGGCGCGAAAGCUAGGGGAGCAAACGGG